UAGGAGGAUUGUGAUUAGUAAGGCCUGGGUUAUGUGGUUUCGAUUACCUUCUAUUAAGCUGUGAUGUGCUCAAGCCUUACUAAUCACAAUCCUCCUAGGUAUUUACUUUACACUAUUACAAAUUUCAGAAUACUAUGAAGCACCAUUCACAAUUUCCGACGGUGUAUACGGCUCCACCUUCUUUGUAGCAACUGGAUUUCAUGGCUUACAUGUUAUUAUCGGCACCUCCUUCCUAAUUGUAUGCCUAUUACGACAACUAAAAUACCACUUUACAUCAAACCACCACUUCGGAUUUGAAGCUGCUGCUUGAUACUGACACUUUGUAGACGUGGUAUGACUAUUCCUAUAUGUCUCUAUCUACUGAUGAGGUUCCUA